rnacentral:rRNA from 1 species
UAGCCGUAAACGAUACUCGCUAGGUGUCGGCCACGGUGCGACCGUUGUCGGUGCCGUAGGGAAGCCGUGAAGCGAGCCACCUGGGAAGUACGGCCGCAAGGCUGAAACUUAAAGGAAUUGGCGGGGGAGCACAACAACGGGUGGAGCUUGCGGUUUAAUUGGAUUCAACGCCGGAAAUCUUACCGGGACCGACAGCAACAUGAAGGCCAAGCUGAAGACUUUGCCGGAUUAGCUGAGAGGAGGUGCAUGGCGUAGUCGUG